GAUGAACGCUGGCGGCGUGCCUAAUACAUGCAAGUCGAGCGAACAGACGAGGAGCUUGCUCCUCUGACGUUAGCGGCGGACGGUUGAGUAACACGUGGAUAACCUACCUAUAAGACUGGGAUAACUUCGGGAAACCGGAGCUAAUACCGGAUAACAUGUUGAACCGCAUGGUUCAACAGUGAAAGACGGUCUUGCUGUCACUUAUAGAUGGAUCCGCGCCGCAUUAGCUAGUUGGUAAGGUAACGGCUUACCAAGGCAACGAUGCGUAGCCGACCUGAGAGGGUGAUCGGCCACACUGGAACUGAGACACGGUCCAGACUCCUACGGGAGGCAGCAGUAGGGAAUCUUCCGCAAUGGGCGAAAGCCUGACGGAGCAACGCCGCGUGAGUGAAGAAGGUCUUCGGAUCGUAAAACUCUGUUAUUAGGGAAGAACAAAUGUGUAAGUAACUAUGCACGUCUUGACGGUACCUAAUCAGAAAGCCACGGCUAACUACGUG
rnacentral:rRNA from 1 species